UCACGAGCCCUGCAGUCUGGAAACUGCUUGUUGAUACUGUUUUUGGGCAGCUUCUUUUUCCUUUAGGAUUCCAGGAUAAGUGACACCAUCAACUGUCCUGUUGAAAGAUACAUUGGAUAUCGGAAUAUGUGUGCAGAGAUGUUAUUGGGAUUUUUUUGCUUCAGUUCAUCAAGUAAAGGAGAUAUUUGAGAGGUAUAACAAAGAGACUGGAAAGAAUGCUGCCUCUAUAGGACUGAAAACAUACUGAAGAAAGAUGAAGGAAGGCCUUCUCUGGAUAUUGCAGAGCAGAUUGGUAGAAACUCUAACCAGAGGGCAUGUCUAUUUCAGAAGAGCUUAUGCAACAGGAGGCCACAUUUUGGAUGAUCAUUAAAAAGAAUGAAGUUUUUCUGGUGUUCCUCAGAGGCACUGAAUACUAGACUGAUUUCAUAUUCUUCCCAUGUCUGUGGAGCUGCCUCAAUUCAAUUUUUGGUAACUUACGUAUGAAUCCAGGUGUGGUGGAUAGCUCUCUCAUGUAUGUAUGUAUGUAUGUAUGUAUGUAUGUAUGUAUGUAUGUAUGUACCACUAUGUAUCCCUUUCAAACAUCCCACGAUUACACACUCAUAGAUGCAAGUACUCCUUGCUUUAUCUGAUUCAUUCUUUCUCAGUUCAGUGGCUUCCCCCCCAAAAUGUUGAACUAUGCAACAUGAUGUACAGCAUAUGAAUCCAAAGAAGCUAAAUCAAGUCUGGAUCCAACACAGUCCCUCUUAGGACACCUAUCAGCCACUCAGGGAGUUGCUGACAGGUGUUGUGAGGGACCAAAGCACCUUACUGGCUUCAAAUCAAAUCUUCAUUAUUGUCAUAAACUAGCAUAACUUUGCCUGCUUCAUAUUCAAAUGCAGCACGUCUGAGCCAGGCAGCUCAGGGCACGAAAUUUCAUAGGCAACCAGUUUCCAUGAACUUUAGAAUUUGAGCCAAAUUAAGCAUGCUGGUUGAAGGCUGAAGACGUCUUGAAGGAUCGAGAUAGUGGAUUUGCAGUUGUUGCUUAAAGCUAAAAAAUUCUGAGGAAAUAAGUAGGUGACUUCAUAUAUUUAGCUACAUACCUUAAUGUUUCUUAAUGGAUUUAUCAAAAUAUCUGAAAUUACAAGAGCAGGAAUCAAGGCCAGUAAAAUGUAAAAUGGGAUACGCUUCCCCAUGUUGGAAGAAAAAUAAAAA